AUUGAACGCUGGCGGCGUGCCUUACACAUGCAAGUCGAACGGUAACGGGCCUUCGGGUGCCGACGAGUGGCGAACGGGUGAGUAAUGUAUCGGAACGUACCUUUCAGUGGGGGAUAACGUAGCGAAAGUUACGCUAAUACCGCAUAUUCUGUGCGCAGGAAAGCAGGGGAUCGCAAGACCUUGCGCUGCCUGAGCGGCGCAUUUCAGAUUAGCUAGUUGGUGAGGUAAAGGCCCACCAAGGGGACGAUCUGUAGCGGGUCUGGGAGGAUGAUCCGCCACACUGGAACUGAGACACGGUCCAGACUCCUACGGGAGGCAGCAGUGGGGAAUUUUGGACAAUGGGGGCAACCCUGAUCCAGCCAUGCCGCGUGAGUGAAGAAGGCCUUCGGGUUGUAAAGCUCUUUCGGCCGGGAAGAAAUCGCAUGGGCUAAUACCCUGUGCGGAUGACGGUACCGGCAUAAGAAGCACCGGCUAACUACGUGCCAGCAGCCGCCGUAACAC
rnacentral:rRNA from 1 species